rnacentral:rRNA from 1 species
UAUUCCAGCUCCAAUAGCGUAUAUUAAAGUUGUUGCAGUUAAAAAGCUCGUAGUUGGAUUUGUGGUGGUUCCCGUGGUCCAAUUUUUUGGUACCGCUGGGAGCCGCCAUCCUUGGGUGGAACCUGUGUGGCAUUAGGUUGUCGUGCAGGGGAUGCCCAUCGUUUACUGUGAAAAAAUUAGAGUGUUCAAAGCAGGCUUAUGCCGUUGAAUAUAUUAGCAUGGAAUAAUAAGAUAGGACCUUGGUACUAUUUUGUUGGUUUGCGCACCGAGGUAAUGAUUAAUAGGGACAGUUGGAGCUAUUCGUAUUCCAUUGUCAGAGGUGAAAUUCUUGGAUUUCUGGAAGACGAACUACUGCGAAAGCAUUUAGCGAGGAUGUUUUCAUUAAUCAAGAACGAAAGUUAGGGGAUCGAAGAUGAUUAGAUACCAUCGUAGUCA